AUUGAACGCUGGCGGCAGGCUUAACACAUGCAAGUCGAACGAGUGGCGGACGGGUGAGUAAUAUAUCGGAACGUGCCCAAUAGCGGGGGAUAACUACUGGAAAGAGAGCUAAUACCGCAUACUAUUGGAUCGGCCGAUAUGGGAUUAGCUAGUUGGUGGGGUAAAGGCUCACCAAGGCAACGAUCCGUAGCUGGUCUGAGAGGACGACCAGCCACACUGGGACUGAGACACGGCCCAGACUCCUACGGGAGGCAGCAGUGGGGAAUUUUGGACAAUGGGGGAAACCCUGAUACAGCCAUGCCGCGUGUAUGAUGAAGGCCUUCGGGUUGUAAAGUACUUUUGGCAGAGAGGCGGUAUCUGCAGAAGAAGCACCGGCUAACUCCGUGCCAGCAGCCGCGGUAAUUC
rnacentral:rRNA from 1 species